GAUGAACGCUAGCUACAGGCUUAACACAUGCAAGUCGAGGGGUAGCAGGGUAGCAAUACCGCUGACGACCGGCGCACGGGUGAGUAACACGUAUCCAACCUUCCCAUCACUCGGGGAUAGCCUUUCGAAAGAAAGAUUAAUACCCGAUAGUACUUUUUUGAGGCAUCUUAAGAAAGUUAAAGAUUUAUUGGUGAUGGAUGGGGAUGCGUUCCAUUAGAUUGUUGGUGAGGUAACGGCUCACCAAGUCUUCGAUGGAUAGGGGUUCUGAGAGGAAGGUCCCCCAAUUGGUACUGAGACACGGACCAAACUCCUACGGGAGCAGCAGUGAGGAAUAUUGGUCAAUGGGCGAGAGCCUGAACCAGCCAAGUAGCGUGAAGGAUGAAGGUCCUAUGGAUUGUAAACUUCUUUUAUAGUAGAAUAAAGUGAUCCACGUGUGGUAUUUUUGAUGUAUACUAUGAAUAAGGAUCGGCUAACUCCGUGCCAGCAGCCGCGGUAAUAGUGU
rnacentral:rRNA from 1 species